rnacentral:rRNA from 1 species
GACGAACGCUGGCGGCGUGCUUAACACAUGCAAGUCGAACGGAAAGGCCCUGCUUUUGUGGGGAGCUCGAGUGGCGAACGGGUGAGUAACACGUGAGUAACCUGCCCUUGACUUUGGGAUAACUUCAGGAAACUGGGGCUAAUACCGGAUAGGAGCUCCUGCUGCAUGGUGGGGGUUGGAAAGUUUCUGCGGUUUGGGAUGGCUUCGCGGGUUAUCAGCUUGUUGGUGGGGUAGUGGCUUACGAAGGCUUUGACGGGUCGCCGGCCUGAGAGGGUGACCGGCGACAUGGGGACUGAGAUACGGCGCAGUAGCCUACGGGAGGCAGCAGGGGAGAAUAUGGCACAAUGGGCGGAAGUCUGAUGCAGCAACGCCGCGUGCGGGAUGACGGCCUUCGGGGGGUAAACCGCUGUCUCCUGUGACGAAGCGGGAGUGACGGUAAUGGGUAAAGAAGCACCGGCUAACUACGUG